rnacentral:lncRNA from 1 species
GAGGCAGCAGGAAGGCGCACAGAGUCUGUCUGAGCAACACCGGGAUGGAGGAGCCCGCUGGGAACCUUCCCAUCCGGAGAGACGUCAUCCUUCCCGAGUCGUGCUGUGGUCACGUCACCAUAACAAACCUGCACUAAGCUCGCUGGGCAUUUGGGAAAGUGUAUUUAGAGUUGUUCCUGGGCCUACAUCCAAGACCUC